UGGCUCAGAUUGAACGCUGGCGGCAGGCUUAACACAUGCAAGUCGAGCGGGGGAGGUUGCUUCGGUACUGACCUAGCGGCGGACGGGUGAGUAAUGCUUAGGAAUCUGCCUAUUAGUGGGGGACAACAUCUCGAAAGGGAUGCUAAUACCGCAUACGUCCUACGGGAGAAAGCAGGGGACCUUCGGGCCUUGCGCUAAUAGAUGAGCCUAAGUCGGAUUAGCUAGUUGGUGGGGUAAAGGCCUACCAAGGCGACGAUCUGUAGCGGGUCUGAGAGGAUGAUCCGCCACACUGGGACUGAGACACGGCCCAGACUCCUACGGGAGGCAGCAGUGGGGAAUAUUGGACAAUGGGGGGAACCCUGAUCCAGCCAUGCCGCGUGUGUGAAGAAGGCCUUUUGGUUGUAAAGCACUUUAAGCGAGGAGGAGGCUACUGGUAUUAAUACUACCGGAUAGUGGACGUUACUCGCAGAAUAAGCACCGGCUAACUCUGUGCCAGCAGCCGCGGUAAUACAGAGGGUGCGAGCGUUAAUCGGAUUUACUGGGCGUAAAGCGUGCGUAGGCGGCUUUUUAAGUCGGAUGUGAAAUCCCUGAGCUUAACUUAGGAAUUGCAUUCGAUACUGGGAGGCUAGA
rnacentral:rRNA from 1 species